UACAGAGGUCUCAAGCGUUGUUCGGAUUCAUUGGGCGUAAAGGGUGCGUAGGUGGCGCCGUAAGUCGGGUGUGAAAUUUCGGAGCUUAACUCCGAAACUGCAUUCGAUACUGCGGUGCUUGAGGACUGGAGAGGAGACUGGAAUUCAUGGUGUAGCAGUGAAAUGCGUAGAGAUCAUGAGGAAGACCAGUGGCGAAGGCGGGUCUCUGGACAGUUCCUGACACUGAGGCACGAAGGCCAGGGGAGCAAACGGGAUUAGAACGUACCC
rnacentral:rRNA from 1 species